CCUGAUGCAGCCAUGCCGCGUGUAUGAAGAAGGCCUUCGGGUUGUAAAGUACUUUCAGCGAGUGAGGAAGGCGUUAUCGUUAAUAGCCGGUAUCGAUUGACGUUACUCGCAGAAGAAGCACCGGCUAACUCCGUGCCAGCAGCCGCGGUAAUACGGAGGGUGCGAGCGUUAAUCGGAAUUACUGGGCGUAAAGCGCACGCAGGCGGUCUGUCAAGUCGGAUGUGAAAUCCCCGGGCUCAACCUGGGAACUGCAUCCGAAACUGGCAGGCUAGAGACUUGUAGAGGGGGGUAGAAUUCCAGGUGUAGCGGUGAAAUGCGUAGAGAUCUGGAGGAAUACCGGUGGCGAAGGCGGCCCCCUGGACAAAGACUGACACUCAGAUGCGAAAGCGUGGGGAGCAAACAGGAUUAGAUACCCUGGUAGUCCACGCCGUAAACGAUGUCGACUUGGAGGUUGUGCCCUUGAGGCGUGGCUUUCGGAGCUAACGCGUUAAGUAGACCGCCUGGGGAGUACGGUCGCAAGGUUAAAACUCAAAUGAAUUGACGGGGGCCCGCACAAGCGGUGGAGCAUGUGGUUUAAUUCGAUGCAACGCGAAGAACCUUACCUACUCUUGACAUCCAGAGAACUUAGCAGAGAUGCUUUGGUGCCUUCGGGAACUCUGAGACAGGUGCU
rnacentral:rRNA from 1 species